UACGUAGGUGGCAAGCGUUGUCCGGAAUUAUUGGGCGUAAAGGGCGUGUAGGUGGAUUUUUAAGUCGUGUGUCUAAGUGCGGAGCUCAACUCCGUAUAGGCGCAGGAAACUGAGAAUCUUGAGUGCAGGAGAGGAAAGUGGAAUUCCCAGUGUAGCGGUGAAAUGCGUAGAUAUUGGGAGGAACACCAGUGGCGAAGGCGACUUUCUGGACUGUGUCUGACACUGAGGCGCGAAAGCUAGGGGAGCGAACGGG
rnacentral:rRNA from 1 species